ensembl:lncRNA novel transcript
CCAGUGCGACCCAACGGCAGCCAGAGGCCGCCCUGCCCCGCCGGCCAGAAGCGGACUCGGUGCAGACAUGCAGCUCUCUCCGUGGAAUGUGCAUGUGCACGGAGUAGAGACGGGAUUUCACCAUGUUAGCCAAGAUGGUCUCCAUCUCCUGACCUUGUGAUCCGCCCG